rnacentral:rRNA from 1 species
UACGAAGGGGCUAGCGUUGCUCGGAAUUACUGGCGUAAAGGGCGCGUAGGCGGAUACUUAAGUCGGGGUGAAAGCCCAGGGCUCAACCCUGGAAUAGCCUUCGAUACUGGGUAUCUUGAGUUCGGAGAGGUGAGUGGAACUCCGAGUGUAGAGGUGAAAUUCGAUAGAUAUUCGGAAGAACACCAGUGGCGAAGGCGACUCACUGGCCCGAUACUGACGCUGAGCGCGAAGCGUGGGAGCAACAGGAUAGAACCGAG